GGGGUUAUGGCUCAGUGGUAGAGCACUCACCUAGCACUUGUGAGGCUUUGGGUUCAAUCCUCAGUACCA
rfam:Ictidomys tridecemlineatus contig000659, whole genome shotgun sequence.